CUGCUGUGACCAGAAGGCAGCAGAGACAGGUCCUUUUCAGAUCUAACCGUGUGAACUAGUCACCAGGGGGUCUCACUGUGAGCAGAGCUGGAGUCAGGAGAUCUGGGCCAGGCUGACAUAACCAGCCCCAAGGUGAGUGGGGCCUGACAGCCUGCAUCUCUCACAGCCCCUGGUGGGCGGAGCCCGAGGACCCCCAUCUCUCCAGCCCCAGGUGGGCGGGAGCAGGCCCUCUCCCCGAGGCCAGGCACCAGCGGUGCCGCACAACGGACA